CUCCAUGAAUGGGGCCAGCAACCCAGAGAGGGUGUCAGGCCCGUGGGACGAGCCGCGACGGCGUAUUGGGUCUCUCCUUAGAGUCGGGUUGCUUGAGAGUGCAGCCCUAAGCGGGAGGUAAACUCCUUCUAAGGCUAAAUACGGCCACGAGACCGAUAGCGAACAAGUACCGCGAGGGAAAGUUGAAAAGAACUUUGAAGAGAGAGUUCAAUAGUGCGUGAAACCGUUCAGGGGGUUAAACGGGUGGGCCCUCGAAGGUCGAACGGUCCCCAUUCCAGUCAUUCGCAGGCCGGUCCGCGUCGUUUCAUCCGAUCUCGCUACGAGACGGUGCGGCGCGGGUCGCCGGUCUACGAGGGCCGCAAGUUGGGGACCCAGUAGGACUCCGCAACCGUCUGGGAGGCCGUCAGAAGGGUUCCGGUAGAAAGCCCCCUCUGGGGGUGGACUCUGGGAUUUCCGGACGGUCCUCCCGGCCGUAAACCUGCAUUCUCUCGAACGGUGCGUGGGACGAGCCUCGGUUCGCAAGGGCCGGGGUUGUCGGUUUCACAGCCGCUCGGGAGACGCGCGGAGAGUAGAGUCGGGUCCCACCCGACCCGUCUUGAAACACGGACCAAGGAGUCUAACAUGUGCGCGAGUCGUCGGGUUUGACUAAACCCGAAGGCGCAAUGAAAGUGAAGACCGUCCUCGUUGGCGUGUCUAGGGGAGAUCCCGUCCUGCUUCGGUAGCUCGGGCGCAUCCCCGGGGCGUCGAGGCCGCGUUGCCGGCCAGACAAACCA
rnacentral:rRNA from 1 species